rnacentral:rRNA from 1 species
CACAAGCGGAGGAACAUGUGGUUUAAUUCGAUGAUACGCGAGGAACCUUACCUGGGCUUAAAUGUAGAGCGACAGAUCGGGAAACUGGUCCUUCUUCGGACGAUCUACAAGGUGCUGCAUGGUUGUCGUCAGCUCGUGCCGUGAGGUGUCGGGUUAAGUCCCAUAACGAGCGCAACCCUUAUCGUUAGUUGCCAGCGGGUAAUGCCGGGGACUCUAACGAAACUGCCGGUGUAAACCGUGAGGAAGGUGGGAUGACGUCAAAUCAGCACGGCCCUUAUGUCCAGGGCGACACACGUGUUACAAUGGCCGGUACAGAGGGCAGCUACCUGGUGACAGGAUGCAAAUCUCCAAAACCGGUCUCAGUUCGGAUCGAAGUCUGCAACUCGACUUCGUGAAGCUGGAUUCGCUAGUAAUCGCGCAUCAGCCAUGGCGCGGUGAAUACGUUCCCGGGCCUU